rnacentral:rRNA from 1 species
UACGUAGGGUGCGAGCGUUAAUCGGAAUUACUGGGCGUAAAGCGCACGUAGGCGGUUUGUCGCGUCGGGAGUGAAAACCAGGUGCUUAACACCUGGCUUGCUUUCGAUACGGGCAGACUAGAGGCAUGGCAGGGGAGAACGGAAUUCCUGGUGUAGCGGUGAAAUGCGCAGAUAUCAGGAGGAACACCAAUGGCGAAGGCAGAUCGCCUGGGCCGUAACUGACGCUGAGGAGCGAAAGCAUGGGGAG